GACGAACGCUGGCGGCGUGCUUAACACAUGCAAGUCGAACGGUAAGGCCCUUCGGGGUACACGAGUGGCGAACGGGUGAGUAACACGUGGGUGAACUGCCCUGCACUUCGGGAUAAGCCUGGGAAACUGGGUCUAAUACCGGAUAGGACCACUGCCUGCAUGGGUGGUGGUGGAAAGCUUUUGCGGUGUGGGAUGGGGCCGCGGCCUAUCAGCUUGUUGGUGGGGUGGUGGCCUACCAAGGCGACGACGGGUAGCCGGCCUGAGAGGGUGACCGGCCACACUGGGACUGAGGUACGGCCCAGACUCCUACGGGAGGCAGCAGUGGGGAAGAUUGCACAAUGGGCGCAAGCCUGAUGCAGCGACGCCGCGUGAGGGAUGACGGCCUUCGGGUUGUAAACCUCUUUCAGCACCGACGAAGCGCAAGUGACGGUAGGUGCAGAAGAAGGACCGGCCAACUACGUGCCAGCCGCCGCAGUAA
rnacentral:rRNA from 1 species